AUACGGCCAUAUCACGUCGAAACAUUAGUUCCCGUCGGAUCACCGAAGUUAAGCAAGGUCGUGCUUGGUUGAUACCUUUAUGCGCCGUGCAAGGAACCCAGCUGCGCUCCAAGUUGACAUAAAGCCUGGGUAGUAGUUAGAUGGGCGACCACUUGGGUAUACCAGGAGCUGUA